rnacentral:misc_RNA from 1 species
GUUAACUAACUAACUAGUUAGUUAGUUA